rnacentral:snRNA from 1 species
GGAUACGAGGGCAAUCUGGCUGCAAUAUCUGUCACCCCACUGAUCACCAAGGUUGAUUCGGCUAGGCGCGUGUCCCCUUUCUCAAAGUUCCAUGUGCGUACCUCCUGAAGCUGCACACUGGGUCAAAGAGGAUGACCUCCCUGAUAAUGAAGGACUGUUUGCUGGUCCAAAGUAUAGGAGUAGCUGUGCUCCCCUGCUAGAACCUCCAAACAAGCUCUCAAGAUACACACACACACACACACACACACACACACACACACACACACACACACAUUUU